rnacentral:rRNA from 1 species
GGGUUGUGAGGUUAAGUGACUAAGCGUACACGGUGGAUGCCUAGGCAGUCAGAGGCGAUGAAGGGCGUGCUAAUCUGCGAAAAGCGUCGGUAAGGUGAUAUGAACCGUUACAACCGGCGAUACCCGAAUGGGGAAACCCAGUGUGUUUCGACACACUAUCAUGUCAUGAAUACAUAGUGGCAUGAGGCGAACCGGGGGAACUGAAACAUCUAAGUACCCCGAGGAAAAGAAAUCAACCGAGAUUCCCCCAGUAGCGGCGAGCGAACGGGGAGGAGCCCAGAACCUGAAUCGGCUUGUGUGUUAGUGGAAGCGUCUGGAAAGUCGCGCAGUAAAGGGUGAUAGCCCCGUACACUAAAAUGCACAGGUCGUGAGUUCGAUGAGUAGGGCGGGACACGUGACAUCCUGUCUGAAUAUGGGGGGACCAUCCUCCAAGGCUAAAUACUCCUGACUGACCGAUAGUGAACCAGUACCGUGAGGGAAAGGCGAAAAGAACCCCGGCGAGGGGAGUGAAAUAGAACCUGAAACCGUGUACGUACAAGCAGUGGGAGCACCUUCGUGGUGUGACUGCGUACCUUUUGUAUAAUGGGUCAGCGACUUAUAUUUUGUAGCAAGGUUAACCGUAUAGGGGAGCCGUAGGGAAACCGAGUCUUAACUGGGCGAAUAGUUGCAAGGUAUAGACCCGAAACCCGGUGAUCUAGCCAUGGGCAGGUUGAAGGUUGGGUAACACUAACUGGAGGACCGAACCGACUAAUGUUGAAAAAUUAGCGGAUGACUUGUGGCUGGGGGUGAAAGGCCAAUCAAACCGGGAGAUAGCUGGUUCUCCCCGAAAGCUAUUUAGGUAGCGCCUCGUGAACUCAUCUUCGGGGGUAGAGCACUGUUUCGGCUAGGGGGCCAUCCCGGCUUACCAAACCGAUGCAAACUCCGAAUACCGAAGAAUGUUAUCACGGGAGACACACGGCGGGUGCUAACGUCCGUCGUGAAGAGGGAAACAACCCAGACCGCCAGCUAAGGUCCCAAAGUCAUGGUUAAGUGGGAAACGAUGUGGGAAGGCAUAGACAGCCAGGAUGUUGGCUUAGAAGCAGCCAUCAUUUAAAGAAAGCGUAAUAGCUCACUGGUCGAGUCGGCCUGCGCGGAAGAUGUAACGGGGCUAAACCAUGCACCGAAGCUGCGGCAGCGACGCUUAGGCGUUGUUGGGUAGGGGAGCGUUCUGUAAGCCGUUGAAGGUGGCCUGUGAGGGUUGCUGGAGGUAUCAGAAGUGCGAAUGCUGACAUAAGUAACGAUAAAGCGGGUGAAAAGCCCGCUCGCCGGAAGACCAAGGGUUCCUGUCCAACGUUAAUCGGGGCAGGGUGAGUCGACCCCUAAGGCGAGGCUGAAAAGCGUAGUCGAUGGGAAACAGGUUAAUAUUCCUGUACUUGGUGUUACUGCGAAGGGGGGACGGAGAAGGCUAGGCUAGCCGGGCGACGGUUGUCCCGGUUUAAGCGUGUAGGGGGUGUGACCUGGUAAAUCCGGUUACAUAUCAACCCUGAGGCGUGAUGACGAUGCACUACGGUGCAGAAGUAGUUGAUGCCCUGCUUCCAGGAAAAGCCUCUAAGCUCUAGGUAACAUUGAAUCGUACCCCAAACCGACACAGGUGGUCAGGUAGAGAAUACCAAGGCGCUUGAGAGAACUCGGGUGAAGGAACUAGGCAAAAUGGUGCCGUAACUUCGGGAGAAGGCACGCUGGCAUGUAGGUGAAGUCCUUCGCGGAUGGAGCUGAAGCCAGUCGAAGAUACCAGCUGGCUGCAACUGUUUAAUAAAAACACAGCACUGUGCAAACACGAAAGUGGACGUAUACGGUGUGACGCCUGCCCGGUGCUGGAAGGUUAAUUGAUGGGGUCAGCCGCAAGGCGAAGCUCUUGAUCGAAGCCCCAGUAAACGGCGGCCGUAACUAUAACGGUCCUAAGGUAGCGAAAUUCCUUGUCGGGUAAGUUCCGACCUGCACGAAUGGCGUAAUGAUGGCCAGGCUGUCUCCACCCGAGACUCAGUGAAAUUGAACUCGCUGUGAAGAUGCAGUGUACCCGCGGCAAGACGGAAAGACCCCGUGAACCUUUACUAUAGCUUGACACUGAACAUUGAGCCUUGAUGUGUAGGAUAGGUGGGAGGCUUUGAAGCGUGGACGCCAGUCUGCGUGGAGCCAUCCUUGAAAUACCACCCUUUAAUGUUUGAUGUUCUAACUCGGCCCCAUAAUCUGGGGUGAGGACAGUGUCUGGUGGGUAGUUUGACUGGGGCGGUCUCCUCCCAAAGAGUAACGGAGGAGCACGAAGGUUAGCUAAUCACGGUCGGACAUCGUGAGGUUAGUGCAAAGGCAUAAGCUAGCUUGACUGCGAGAGUGACGGCUCGAGCAGGUACGAAAGUAGGUCUUAGUGAUCCGGUGGUUCUGAAUGGAAGGGCCAUCGCUCAACGGAUAAAAGGUACUCCGGGGAUAACAGGCUGAUACCGCCCAAGAGUUCAUAUCGACGGCGGUGUUUGGCACCUCGAUGUCGGCUCAUCACAUCCUGGGGCUGAAGUAGGUCCCAAGGGUAUGGCUGUUCGCCAUUUAAAGUGGUACGCGAGCUGGGUUUAGAACGUCGUGAGACAGUUCGGUCCCUAUCUGCCGUGGGCGUUGGAAGAUUGAGAGGGGUUGCUCCUAGUACGAGAGGACCGGAGUGAACGCACCACUGGUGUUCGGGUUGUCAUGCCAAUGGCAUUGCCCGGUAGCUAAGUGCGGAAAAGAUAAGCGCUGAAAGCAUCUAAGCGCGAAACUUGCCUCAAGAUGAGUCUUCCCUGGGCCUUUAAGGUCCCUGAAGGAACGUUUAAGACUAAGACGUUGAUAGGCUGGGUGUGUAAGUGCAGCGAUGCAUUGAGCUAACCAGUACUAAUGAUCCGUGAGGCUUAACCUUACAACACCGAAGGUGUUU